GCCUAACGGCUGAACUGGCAACUUGGAGAAGUGGCAAGUCUUCCAGUAUGGGGAGCAAAACAGCUAUGGGUCAAGUCCGAGAUCUUUAGGAGAAGUCUUAUUGUGAGGGCGAGUUAUAUAACACCAUAGGACUGGCCGUCCCAUAUGAAAAGAUUAUAUUAGAAUUGAAUGAAGCUUUGUUUAUAUAUUGAUAAUGACAGUAUAUAUAUCGUGUCUUGACUAAUUGCGUGCCAGCAGUCGCGGUAAUACGUAAGAGACUAGUGUUAUUCAUCUUAAUUAGGUUUAAAGGGUACCCAGACGGUCAAUAUAGCUUAUAAAAUGUUAGUACUUGACUAGAGUUUUAUGUAAGAGGGCAGUACUUGAGGAGGAGAGAUGAAAUUUCGUGAUACCAAAGGGACUCUGUAAAGGCGAAGGCAGCCCUCUAUGUAAAAACUGACGUUGAAGGACGAAGGCACAGAGAACAAACAGGAUUAGAUACCCAAGUAGUCUUUGCAGUAAAUGAUGAAUGCCAUAGGUUAGAUUGAUCAAUUAUAGUCUAGGGUUAGUCUAGCAAACUAAUGCCCUAUGAUAUAAUUCAAAAUAUCUGGUCUAUAAAUGAAAGUGUAAGCAUUUCACCUCAAGAGUAAUGUGGCAACGCAGGAACUGAAAUCACUAGACCGUUUCUGACACCAGUAGUGAAG
rnacentral:rRNA from 1 species